CAGUAGCCACGGGAAUACAGAGGAUUUAAGCGUUAUCCGGAACGAUUGGGCGUAAAGCGUCUGUAGGUGGCUUUUCAAGUCCGUCGUCAAAUCCCAGGGCUCAACCCUGGACAGGCGGUGGAAACUACCAAGCUGGAGUACGGUAGGGCAGAGGGAAUUUCCAGUGGAGCGGUGAAAUGCGUUGAGAUCGGAAAGAACACCAACGGCGAAAGCACUCUGCUGGGCCGACACUGACACUGAGAGACGAAAGCUAGGGGAGCAAAUGGGAUUAGAUACCCCAGUAGUCCCUGUCUCUUAUACA
rnacentral:rRNA from 1 species